UAGGUUUAUUCCUUACUCAGGAGCCAAAUCAAAGUUUCUAGAAAUUAAAUAAAAAAGAAUGAUUUGAGAAUUCUCAUCAAAUUUUUUAGGGACUGAUAGAAUGCUCCAUUAAAAGAACACUUUAAAUCCAUUUUAUAGGGAGCAACAUUGUUUAUUAAAUGAGAGAAACAGCACUUACACAAUUCAUUUGACACACAGCACACAGUGCUAUUGAUGGCACGUAUUGGCAGCUUAAUUAAGAAGUCUGUUGAUGAUGCUAAAGAAAAAAAAGCUGGCACAUUUUCAAUUCAGAUGUGGACAUUACUCAAGACAAAGACAUGUCUAUUGUUGGCUCAUACAUACUAAAGUGUGUCACAGACACUGUUUGUGUCUACAGUCAUAUUAGCAUCUUAACACUGGAAAAAUCAUGACUUAUUCCCAGAUCAGAAAUAACUUUUUGGAAAAAUUAUAUAGUCAUCCAACUCAUGGAAUACAGACAACAAUGCAAUGACUACUGAAAUGGCCAAAUUGUUAUACAGAGCCUUUGCUUGGGUCUGUUUUGCACAUUCCUUGCCCUUUCUUGGGUCCAUGAGCAGCACCCACAAGUUUGAGCCAAACCUUUCCCUUCUCUAUGCUAAUAACUCACUCAGAAUGGCAGGCCCCGAGGGCAUGGGAGGCAGAGGCUUAUAGAGACAACAGGUAUAAUUCACCUCCCAGCUCCCCAAGAAAUGUAUGAACACAAUAUAUUUCUCCAAUAUACAGUCUACACCUAAGGAGGGGGAAGGGAUUUAUUCAAAUUUACUCCAACUAUAAUGUAUUAAUACUUCUAAAGCCUACUGAAUGUAUAUUAAAUCAAUAAAUUGGGAACUAUCAGAAGACCAAAAAAAUGGAAUUA
rnacentral:lncRNA from 1 species